rnacentral:rRNA from 1 species
AAUCAACGCUGGCGGCGUGCCUAACACAUGCAAGUCGAACGAGAAAGUGGAGCAAUCCAUGAGUAAAGUGGCGCACGGGUGAGUAACACGUGACUAACCUACCCUUGAGUGGGGGAUAACCUAGGGAAACCUGGGCUAAUACCGCAUAAUACCGAGAGGUCAAAGGAGCAAUUCGCUUAAGGAGGGGGUCGCGGCCGAUUAGUUAGUUGGCGGGGUAAUGGCCCACCAAGACUAUGAUCGGUAUCCGGCCUGAGAGGGCGCACGGACACACUGGAACUGAAACACGGUCCAGACUCCUACGGGAGGCAG